UUAAGCGACUAAGCGUACACGGUGGAUGCCCUGGCAGUCAGAGGCGAUGAAGGACGUGCUAAUCUGCGAUAAGCGUCGGUGAGGUGAUAUGAACCGUUAUAACCGGCGAUUUCCGAAUGGGGAAACCCAGUGUGAUUCGUCACACUAUCAUUAACUGAAUCCAUAGGUUAAUGAGGCGAACCGGGGGAACUGAAACAUCUAAGUACCCCGAGGAAAAGAAAUCAACCGAGAUUCCCCCAGUAGCGGCGAGCGAACGGGGAGGAGCCCAGAGCCUGAAUCAGUGUGUGUGUUAGUGGAAGCGUCUGGAAAGGCGCGCGAUACAGGGUGACAGCCCCGUACACAAAAAUGCACAUACUGUGAGCUCGAUGAGUAGGGCGGGACACGUGGUAUCCUGUCUGAAUAUGGGGGGACCAUCCUCCAAGGCUAAAUACUCCUGACUGACCGAUAGUGAACCAGUACCGUGAGGGAAAGGCGAAAAGAACCCCGGCGAGGGGAGUGAAAAAGAACCUGAAACCGUGUACGUACAAGCAGUGGGAGCACAGAGCAAUCUGUGUGACUGCGUACCUUUUGUAUAAUGGGUCAGCGACUUAUAUUCUGUAGCAAGGUUAACCGAAUAGGGGAGCCGAAGGGAAACCGAGUCUUAACUGGGCGUUAAGUUGCAGGGUAUAGACCCGAAACCCGGUGAUCUAGCCAUGGGCAGGUUGAAGGUUGGGUAACACUAACUGGAGGACCGAACCGACUAAUGUUGAAAAAUUAGCGGAUGACUUGUGGCUGGGGGUGAAAGGCCAAUCAAACCGGGAGAUAGCUGGUUCUCCCCGAAAGCUAUUUAGGUAGCGCCUCGUGAAUUCAUCUCCGGGGGUAGAGCACUGUUUCGGCAAGGGGGUCAUCCCGACUUACCAACCCGAUGCAAACUGCGAAUACCGGAGAAUGUUAUCACGGGAGACACACGGCGGGUGCUAACGUCCGUCGUGAAGAGGGAAACAACCCAGACCGCCAGCUAAGGUCCCAAAGUCAUGGUUAAGUGGGAAACGAUGUGGGAAGGCCCAGACAGCCAGGAUGUUGGCUUAGAAGCAGCCAUCAUUUAAAGAAAGCGUAAUAGCUCACUGGUCGAGUCGGCCUGCGCGGAAGAUGUAACGGGGCUAAACCAUGCACCGAAGCUGCGGCAGCGACACUAUGUGUUGUUGGGUAGGGGAGCGUUCUGUAAGCCUGUGAAGGUGUACUGUGAGGUGUGCUGGAGGUAUCAGAAGUGCGAAUGCUGACAUAAGUAACGAUAAAGCGGGUGAAAAGCCCGCUCGCCGGAAGACCAAGGGUUCCUGUCCAACGUUAAUCGGGGCAGGGUGAGUCGACCCCUAAGGCGAGGCCGAAAGGCGUAGUCGAUGGGAAACAGGUUAAUAUUCCUGUACUUGGUGUUACUGCGAAGGGGGGACGGAGAAGGCUAUGUUGGCCGGGCGACGGUUGUCCCGGUUUAAGCGGGUAGGCUGGUUUUCCAGGCAAAUCCGGAAAAUCAAGGCUGAGGCGUGAUGACGAGGCACUACGGUGCUGAAGCAACAAAUGCCCUGCUUCCAGGAAAAGCCUCUAAGCAUCAGGUAACAUCAAAUCGUACCCCAAACCGACACAGGUGGUCAGGUAGAGAAUACCAAGGCGCUUGAGAGAACUCGGGUGAAGGAACUAGGCAAAAUGGUGCCGUAACUUCGGGAGAAGGCACGCUGAUAUGUAGGUGAAGCGACUUGCUCGUGGAGCUGAAAUCAGUCGAAGAUACCAGCUGGCUGCAACUGUUUAUUAAAAACACAGCACUGUGCAAACACGAAAGUGGACGUAUACGGUGUGACGCCUGCCCGGUGCCGGAAGGUUAAUUGAUGGGGUCAGCGCAAGCGAAGCUCUUGAUCGAAGCCCCGGUAAACGGCGGCCGUAACUAUAACGGUCCUAAGGUAGCGAAAUUCCUUGUCGGGUAAGUUCCGACCUGCACGAAUGGCGUAAUGAUGGCCAGGCUGUCUCCACCCGAGACUCAGUGAAAUUGAACUCGCUGUGAAGAUGCAGUGUACCCGCGGCAAGACGGAAAGACCCCGUGAACCUUUACUAUAGCUUGACACUGAACAUUGAGCCUUGAUGUGUAGGAUAGGUGGGAGGCUUUGAAGUGUGGACGCCAGUCUGCAUGGAGCCGGCCUUGAAAUACCACCCUUUAAUGUUUGAUGUUCUAACGUUGGCCCCUGAUCGGGGUUGCGGACAGUGUCUGGUGGGUAGUUUGACUGGGGCGGUCUCCUCCUAAAGAGUAACGGAGGAGCACGAAGGUUGGCUAAUCCUGGUCGGACAUCAGGAGGUUAGUGCAAUGGCAUAAGCCAGCUUGACUGCGAGCGUGACGGCGCGAGCAGGUGCGAAAGCAGGUCAUAGUGAUCCGGUGGUUCUGAAUGGAAGGGCCAUCGCUCAACGGAUAAAAGGUACUCCGGGGAUAACAGGCUGAUACCGCCCAAGAGUUCAUAUCGACGGCGGUGUUUGGCACCUCGAUGUCGGCUCAUCACAUCCUGGGGCUGAAGUAGGUCCCAAGGGUAUGGCUGUUCGCCAUUUAAAGUGGUACGCGAGCUGGGUUUAGAACGUCGUGAGACAGUUCGGUCCCUAUCUGCCGUGGGCGCUGGAGAACUGAGGGGGGCUGCUCCUAGUACGAGAGGACCGGAGUGGACGCAUCACUGGUGUUCGGGUUGUCAUGCCAAUGGCACUGCCCGGUAGCUAAAUGCGGAAGAGAUAAGUGCUGAAAGCAUCUAAGCACGAAACUUGCCCCGAGAUGAGUUCUCCCUGACUCCUUGAGAGUCCUGAAGGAACGUUGAAGACGACGACGUUGAUAGGCCGGGUGUGUAAGCGCAGCGAUGCGUUGAGCUAACCGGUACUAAUGAACCGUGAGGCUUAACCU
rnacentral:rRNA from 1 species